CCUACGGGAGGCAGCAGUGGGGAAUAUUGGGCAAUGGGCGCAAGCCUGAUCCAGCGACGCCGCGUGAGGGAAGAAGGCUUUCGGGUUGUAAACUUCUUUUGUCAGGGACGAAGCAAGUGACGGUACCUGACGAAUAAGCCACGGCUAACUACGUGCCAGCAGCCGCGGUAAUACGUAGGGGGCAAGCGUUAUCCGGAUUUAUUGGGUGUAAAGGGCGUGUAGGCGGGGAUGCAAGUCUGAUGUGAAAGGUAUGGGCCCAACCCAUAGCCUGCAUUGGAAACUGUAUUUCUUGAGUGCUGGAGAGGCAAUUGGAAUUCCGAGUGUAGCGGUGAAAUGCGUAGAUAUACGGAGGAACACCAGUGGCGAAGGCGGAUUACUGGACAGUAACUGACGCUGAGGCGCGAAAGCGUGGGGAGCAAACAGGAUUAGAUACCCUUGUAGUC
rnacentral:rRNA from 1 species